rnacentral:rRNA from 1 species
AGAGAGAGACAUGCGCGCAUAUCAAUAAGCGGAGGAAAAGAAACUAACAAGGAUUCCCCUAGUAACGGCGAGUGAAGCGGGAAGAGCUCAAAUUUGAAUUCUUAAAGGGUUUCCCUUUACGAAUUGUAGUUUAAAGAAGUGUUUUCUGUUGAGGUUUUGGUAAAAGUUCUUUGGAAUAGGACAUCAUAGAGGGUGAGAAUCCCGUAUUUGACCUUUACUUUCAACUUUGUGAUACACUUUCAAAGAGUCGGAUUGUUUGGGAAUGCAGUCCAAAAUGGGUGGUAAAUUUCAUCUAAAGCUAAAUAUUGGCGAGAGACCGAUAGCGAACAAGUACCGUGAGGGAAAGAUGAAAAGAACUUUGAAAAGAGAGUUAAACAGUACGUGAAAUUGUCAAAAGGGAAGCGUUUGACACCAGUGUUGUUUUUCUGAAAAUCAAUUAAAGAACUGUUUAUGCUAAGCUGUUUAGACUUUAUCAGCUAUCUGUUUAGUUUUGAGCUUUUCUUUAAUGCACUUUUCAGUUAACAAGUCAACAUCAAUUUCUUUUGCUGUAAAAAAGCUUGAGGAAGGUGGCUUGAGAUUCGUCUUAAGUGUUUAUAGCCUCUUGCCUAUGCAGUCGGAGAGAUUGAGGUCUGCAGCGUAGAUCCUUCGGGGCUAAAUGCAUUUGUGCUAAGUUAUAACAUUUUAUAGACAACUUGUUGACUAUGAUUUGUCUUGUAGCUUACUCGCUUAUGUUAUUUUACCUACGCUUAGGAUGUUGACGCAUGAGAUAUACGC